AAGCCUACGGGGCGCAGCAGUGGGGAAUAUUGGGCAAUGGGCGCAAGCCUGACCCAGCAACGCGGCGUGAAGGAAGAAGGCUUUCGGGUUGUAAACUUCUUUUCUCAGGGACGAAGAAAGUGACGGUACCUGAGGAAUAAGCCACGGCUAACUACGUGCCAGCAGCCGCGGUAAUACGUAGGUGGCAAGCGUUAUCCGGAUUUAUUGGGUGUAAAGGGGGUGUAGGCGGGAGCGCAAGGCAGAUGUGAAAACUAAGGGCUCAACCCUUAGCCUGCAUUUGAAAC
rnacentral:rRNA from 1 species